UACGUAGGGGGCAAGCGUUGUCCGGAUUUAUUGGGCGUAAAGAGCGUGUAGGCGGUUUUACAGGUCCGCUGUGAAAACUCGAGGCUCAACCUCGAGACGCCGGUUGAAACCAUCUGGCUAGAGUCCGGAAGAGGAGAGUGGAAUUCCUGGUGUAGCGGUGAAAUGCGCAGAUAUCAGGAAGAACACCCGUGGCUAAGGCGGCUCUCUAGUACGGUACUGACGCUGAGACGCGAAAGCGUGGGGAGCGAACAGG
rnacentral:rRNA from 1 species